rnacentral:rRNA from 1 species
AAAUAACUACGAGUAAAAACUUAAAACUUAAAAGACUUGACGGUGCUUCAUACCAACCUAGAGGAGCCUGUCUAAUAACCGAUAAUCCACGAUUAACCCAACCUGCUCUCGCCACACAGUCUAUAUACCGCCGUCGCCAGCUUACCUCCUGAGAGAAACAAAGUAAGCUAAAUAGCAACACACUAACACGACAGGUCGAGGUGUAACUAAUGAACAGGACCAAGAUGGGCUACAUUUCUCUUAACCAGAAAAACGAACAGACUAUGAAAAUAGGAACUGAAGGCGGAUUUAGUAGUAAGAUAAGAAUAAAAUACCUAACUGAACAAUGCAAUGAAGCGCGC